GUGUGACUCGUCACACUAUCAUUAACUGAAUCCAUAGGUUAAUGAGGCGAACCGGGGGAACUGAAACAUCUAAGUACCCCGAGGAAAAGAAAUCAACCGAGAUUCCCCCAGUAGCGGCGAGCGAACGGGGAGGAGCCCAGAGCCUGAAUCAGCAUGUGUGUUAGUGGAAGCGUCUGGAAAGGCGCGCGAUACAGGGUGACAGCCCCGUACACAAAAGCGCAUGUGCUGUGAGCUCGAUGAGUAGGGCGGGACACGUGGUAUCCUGUCUGAAUAUGGGGGGACCAUCCUCCAAGGCUAAAUACUCCUGACUGACCGAUAGUGAACCAGUACCGUGAGGGAAAGGCGAAAAGAACCCCGGCGAGGGGAGUGAAAAAGAACCUGAAACCGUGUACGUACAAGCAGUGGGAGCACCCUUUGGGGUGUGACUGCGUACCUUUUGUAUAAUGGGUCAGCGACUUAUAUUCUGUAGCAAGGUUAACCGAAUAGGGGAGCCGGAGGGAAACCGAGUCUUAAC
rnacentral:rRNA from 1 species